AGUAAAAGUCGUAACAAGGUUUCCGUAGGUGAACCUGCGGAAGGAUCAUUACCGAGUGAGGGCCCUUUGGGUCCAACCGCCCACCCGUGUUUAUUUUACCUUGUUGCUUCGGCGGGCCCGCCUUUACUGGCCGCCGGGGGGCUCACGCCCCCGGGCCCGCGCCCGCCGAAGACACCCCCGAACUCUGUCUGAAGAUUGAAGUCUGAGUGAAAAUAUAAAUUAUUUAAAACUUUCAACAACGGAUCUCUUGGUUCCGGCAUCGAUGAAGAACGCAGCGAAAUGCGAUACGUAAUGUGAAUUGCAAAUUCAGUGAAUCAUCGAGUCUUUGAACGCACAUUGCGCCCCCUGGUAUUCCGGGGGGCAUGCCUGUCCGAGCGUCAUUGCUGCCCUCAAGCCCGGCUUGUGUGUUGGGCCCCGUCCUCCGAUUCCGGAGGACGGGCCCGAAAGGCAGCGGCGGCACCGCGUCCGGUCCUCGAGCGUAUGGGGCUUUGUCACCCGCUCUGUAGGCCCGGCCGGCGCUUGCCGAUCAACCCAAAUUUUUAUCCAGGUUGACCUCGGAUCAGGUAGGGAUACCCGCUGAACUUAAGCAUAUCAAUAAGCGGAGGA
rnacentral:rRNA from 1 species